AGGAUGAACGCUGGCGGCGUGCCUAAUACAUGCAAGUCGAACGAGGUCUUCGGACCGAGUGGCGAACGGGUGAGUAACACGUUGGUACCUACCCCGAAGUGGGGAAUAACUGCCCGAAAGGGUGGCUAAUACCGCAUAAUACCGCAAGGUUAAAGCAGUAAUGCGCUUCGGGAGGGGCCUGCGUCCCAUUAGCUAGUUGGUAGGGUAAUGGCCUACCAAGGCGACGAUGGGUAGCUGGAUCGAGAGGUUGACCAGCCACACUGGGACUGAGAUACGGCCCAGACUCCUACGGGAGGCAGCAGUAAGGAAUCUUCCACAAUGGACGAAAGUCUGAUGGAGCAACGCCGCGUGCAGGAUGACGGCCUUCGGGUGUAAACUGCUUUUAUAUGGGAAGAUUAUGACGGUACCAUAUGAAUAAGGACCGGCUAACUACGUGCCAGCAGCCGC
rnacentral:rRNA from 1 species